rnacentral:tRNA from 1 species
UCCCUGGUGGUAUAGUGGUUAGGAUUCGGUGCUUUGAAUGCCGUGGCCCAGGUUCAGUCCCUGGUUGGGGAA